rnacentral:rRNA from 1 species
UACAGAGGGUGCGAGCGUUAAUCGGAAUUACUGGGCGUAAAGCGCACGUAGGCGGCUUUGCAAGUCGGGUGUGAAAUCCCCGGGCUCAACCUGGGAACUGCAUUCGAGACUGCUUUGCUCGAGUAUGGGAGAGGGAAGUGGAAUUUCCGGUGUAGCGGUGAAAUGCGUAGAUAUCAGGAGGAACACCUAUUGCGAAGGCAGCUCGCUGGGACGUUACUGACGCUGAGACGCGAAAGCGUGGGGAGCAAACAGG